GCGGGCUGGGGAUGAACUAGCAUGCGAGUCAUUGUAGCAUACAAGGCAGACGGCUCAGUAACGCGUAGUCAAUCUACCCUAUGGACGGGAAUAACCUCGGGAAACUGAGAAUAAUGCCCGAUAGAACAUUAUACCUGGAACGGUUUAUGUUUCAAAUGAUUUAUCGCCGUAGGAUGGGACUGCGGCCUAUCAGUUUGUUGGUGAGGUAAUGGCCCACCAAGACUAUUACAGGUACGGGCUCUGAGAGGAGUAGCCCGGAGAUGGGUACUGAGACACGGACCCAGGCCCUAUGGGGCGCAGCAGGCGAGAAAACUUUGCAAUGUGCGAAAGCACGACAAGGUUAAUCCGAGUGGUUUCUGCUAAAGAAACCUUUUGCUAGUCCUAGAAACACUAGUGAAUAAGGGGUGGGCAAGUUCUGGUGUCAGCCGCCGCGGUAAAACCAGCACCUCGAGUGGUCAGGAUGAUUAUUGGGCCUAAAGCAUCCGUAGCUCGUUUUGUAAGUUUUCGGUUAAAUCCAUACGCUCAACGUAUGGGCUGCCGGGAAUACUGCAUAACUAGGAAGUGGGAGAGGUAGACGGUACUCGGUAGGAAGGGGUAAAAUCCUUUGAUCUAUUGAUGACCACCUGUGGCGAAGGCGGUCUACCAGAACACGUUCGACGGUGAGGGAUGAAAGCUGGGGGAGCAAACCGGAUUAGAUACCCGGGUAGUCCCAGCUGUAAACUAUGCAAACUCAGUGAUGCAUUGGCUUGUGGCCAAUGCAGUGCUGCAGGGAAGCCGUUAAGUUUGCCGCCUGGGAAGUACGUACGCAAGUAUGAAACUUAAAGGAAUUGGCGGGGGAGCACCACAAGGGGUGAAGCCUGCGGUUCAAUUGGAGUCAACGCCGGG
rnacentral:rRNA from 1 species